rnacentral:ncRNA from 1 species
AACGUGGCGUAGCCAUGUGCGAGUCUUGAAAGUACGGUAUUUAGACAGCAGGACGGUGGCCAUGGAAGUCGGAAUCCGCUAAGGAGUGUGUAACAACUCACCUGCCGAAUGAACUAGCCCUGAAAAUGGAUGGCGCUAAAGCGGGCUACUUAUACUUUGCCGUUAGCGCGAUAGCAUUUAUAAUGUACGCGUUAAUG